GCUUCGAUGAUGAUUUUAAGUCUUUAGUCGGAUACCCCUUCACUCUUAAUCAUGAGUGAGAUCCCCAUUCUGACAAGC